GAUCAUGGCUCAGGAUGAACGCUGGCGGCGUGCUUAACACAUGCAAGUCGAACGAAGACUGUCAGACGGAUUGGAGAGCUUGCUCAAAGAGAAGACUGAUAGGACUGAGUGGCGGACGGGUGAGUAACGCGUGGGUAACCUGCCUCAUACAGGGGGAUAACAGUUAGAAAUGACUGCUAAUACCGCAUAAGCGCACAGGACCGCAUGGUCUAGGGCGAAAACUCCGGUGG
rnacentral:rRNA from 1 species